CAGCCGCCGCGGUAAUACAGAGGGUGCGAGCGUUAAUCGGAUUUACUGGGCGUAAAGCGUGCGUAGGCGGCUUUUUAAGUCGGAUGUGAAAUCCCUGAGCUUAACUUAGGAAUUGCAUUCGAUACUGGGAAGCUAGAGUAUGGGAGAGGAUGGUAGAAUUCCAGGUGUAGCGGUGAAAUGCGUAGAGAUCUGGAGGAAUACCGAUGGCGAAGGCAGCCAUCUGGCCUAACACUGACGCUGAGGUACGAAAGCAUGGGGAGCAAACAGGAUUAGAUACCCGCGUAGUCCCUGUCUCUUAUAC
rnacentral:rRNA from 1 species